CACGUAGGGGGCGAGCGUUGUCCGGAUUUAUUGGGCGUAAAGAGCUCGUAGGCGGCUCGGUAAGUCGGGUGUGAAAACUCUAGGCUCAACCUAGAGACGCCACCCGAUACUGCUGUGGCUAGAGUCCGGUAGGGGAGCAUGGAAUUCCUGGUGUAGCGGUGAAAUGCGCAGAUAUCAGGAGGAGCACCGGUGGCGAAGGCGGGUCUCUGGGCAGUAACUGACGCUGAGGAGCGAAAGCGUGGGGAGCGAACAGG
rnacentral:rRNA from 1 species